UCUCCAGCCUGCGCCGGGUGGAGGGUCAGGGAAAGCCAGGCUUCCUGGAUGACAGGGGACCCCAGGGGCGCGUCAGGUGCAGACCUGGUGGCAGCUGUGUGUUUCGAUGCGUGUCCCGGGCUUCCUGUUGGGCAAGCCCGUGGGCUGCAAGUGGAGGGCGGAGCCGCGGUGUGCAGGACCCCGGUGUGCGAUGACUCCGCAGGUGAGGGGUCUGGGACCAGGAGGAGCUCCUGAGCCUACAAGUAUUCGCGACGAGUCUUCUCACAUUGCUGGUUCAAACUCCUGGACUCAAGCAUCCUCCCACCUCAGCCUCUCAGAACGCUGGGAUUACAGGCACAAGCCACCACAUGCACUCAUUCCUCACGAUUUCUGAUGACAAACUGGAGAGGUCCCAGAGCAUAUAGACCUUGAUUGAAUCAGGGGCAGAAUGAAGUCAGGAGAAACCUGGUUUUGGAGCCACGUAAGUGUAAAGUAAGGUCUCAACUCGGAGCCCCAUCAGAGCAUCAGACUCAGUACUAAUUCCUUCCAGCCGCUACUGUGUUUGUCCUGCGAUAACUGGUGUUUGCAGGAAGGAGAAGUAGUUACGUGUGCAGAAAAGUGCAUGAAAUUAGAAAACGUGGACAUGAUUCAGGGAGUGAGAGGGACCCUUGUCUCUUCCAAGGUAGCGGUGGGGCUCUCUGUCCCUUGUCCUGAUCCAUCAAGUGCAGAAGAGAAACUUCCUGCUCUGAGUGAAGUGACCAACAGCGGAAGUUGGAAUGAAGAGAAUCAGGGGCAGCCUCUCUCCCCCCCCAGCCCAGCAAACCUAAGGCAAGGGCUUGGGCUCUGACACUUGGUUCUCAACAUGUGUUUUCCUUCUCUGGUUAAGAAAAGAACCACAUAUAAGAGGAACCAAGGGCUGCAGCUAUUGUGGUACCCAGAGAACUGGGCCAGGGACCAAUGGUGCCAUGUGCUUGUCACUGCUCCACCACUAAGUUGCUGUGACCUCAAGACUCUCUGCCCCUGGAGCCUUUUUGUUGUUGUUGAGUCAGAGUCUCACUCUGUUGCCUGAGCUAGAGUGCCCUGGCGUCAGCCUAGCUCACAGCAACCUCAGAAGAUGGUGGAGCCCGCUAGGAGCAGAGCAGGGAGACCG
rnacentral:lncRNA from 1 species